rnacentral:rRNA from 1 species
GAGUAACGCGUGGAUAAUCUGCCCUUAUGAUCGGGAUAACAGUUGGAAACGGCUGCUAAUACCGGAUACGCUCAAAAUGAACUUUUUGAGGAAAGAUGGCCUCUGCUUGCAUGCUAUCGCGUAAGGAUGAGUCCGCGUCCCAUUAGCUUGUUGGCGGGUAACGGCCCACCAAGGCAACGAUGGGUAGCCGAUUUGAGAGGAUGAUCGGCCACACUGGAACUGAAACACGGUCCAGACUCCUACGGGAGGCAGCAGUGGGGAAUAUUGCGCAAUGGGCGAAAGCCUGACGCAGCGACGCCGCGUGAGGGAUGAAAAGGUUUUCGGAUCGUAAACCUCUGUCAGAAGGGAAGAAACUACAUUGUGCUAAUCAGCAGUGUACUGACGGUACCUUCAAAGGAAGCACCGGCUAACUCCGUGCCAGCAGCAGC